rnacentral:lncRNA from 1 species
GCCCAGUUUAACCGUUCCAGGAGAGUAUAAAUGUCAGCUGCUCUAGUCUUGGCUGCGUUACCACCGACCAGUCCUCAGCUGGCAACAUGAAGCUGGGUGGCCUCUGCCUCCUGCUCCUCCUCGCCGUCCUUCUCACCCUCAAUGCAGAGCUCCAGGCAGUUGAUGUAGGUAUCUGUGUGACGGAGUGCAAGGUAGACCAGGACUGUGGGGCAGGAAGACGAUGCACCAGCAAUGGAUGUGGCCGGGUCUGCUCCCCAGUCCGGCGAAGAGAGGCCUGCGAGCACCAGUGCAGAGAAGACAGGGACUGUGGGAGUGGACAUCAGUGCGUGAGGAAGGGCUGUGGGCACGUCUGCGCCCCCGUCCAUCAAGUCGAUGUAGGUAUCUGUGUGAUGGAGUGCCGUGUAGACCAGGACUGUGGGGAAGGAAGACUAUGCAUCAGUAAUGGGUGUGGCCGUGUCUGCUUCCCAGGGCGAAGAGAGGGCUGCGAGCACCAGUGCAGAGAAGACAGGGACUGUGGGAGUGGACAUCAGUGCGUGAGGAAGGGCUGUGGGCACGUCUGCGCCCCCGUCCAUCAAGUCGGUAUCUGUGUGACGGAGUGCAACGUAGACCAGGACUGUGGGGAAGGAAGACAAUGCACCAGCAAUGGGUGUGGCCGUGUCUGCUCCCCAGUCCAGCAAGAAGAUGUAGGUAUCUGUGUGACGGAGUGCAAGGUAGACCAGGACUGUGGGGAAGGAAGACGAUGCACCAGCAAUGGAUGUGGCCGUGUCUGCUCCCCAGUCCAGCAAAAAGAGGCCUGCGAGCACCAGUGCAGAGAAGACAGGGACUGUGGGAGUGGACAUCAGUGCGUGAGGAAGGGCUGUGGGCACGUCUGUGCCCCCGUCCAUCAAGUCGAUGUAGGUAUCUGUGUGACGGAGUGCCGUGUAGACCAGGACUGUGGGGAAGGAAGACAAUGCACCAGCAAUGGAUGUGGCCGUGUCUGCUCCCCAGCCCAGCAAAGAGAGGCCUGCGAGCACCAAUGCAGAGAAGACAAGGACUGUGGGAGUGGACAUCAGUGCGUGAGGAAGGGCUGUGGGCACGUCUGCUCCCCCAUCCCUCAAGUAGGUAUCUGUGUGACGGAGUGCAAUGUAGACCAGGACUGUGGGGCAGGAAGACGAUGCACCAGCAAUGGAUGUGGCCGGGUCUGCUCCCCACCCCAGGGAGGAGGACUCUGUGUGGACCGCUGCCGAGGAAACUGGGACUGUGGGGCCGGAGAAGAAUGUAUCAGGAAGGGAUGUGGACGGGUCUGCUCUCCAGCCCAGGAGCCAGUGGUAGGUAUCUGUGUGGAUCAGUGCCAAAGACACUGGGAAUGUGGUCCACGGAUGCGGUGUGUCUCCACUGGAUGUGGCCACAUCUGCUCACCAGCCCAAGACCAAGUUGAACAGAGACCCGGAAAAUGUCCAGUGUUGCCAAAAGGAACGUAUGGACUUUGUGCUGAAUUUUGCUCCGGGGAUGACUCCUGUCCCAGCGGACAGAAGUGCUGCAGCAAUGGUUGUGGACACUCUUGCCAGACUGCUGUUCCAGACGAGAAAACCUUCCCUAGCCGUUUGGAUGACUGAUGAACCUUGGCCUCCUUCCAUAAUUGUUCCCACAUGUCACCUUUAUUUGAAGAGGUGGGCUUUUCCAGGAACCCCACCUUUGCCAGGAACCCCAGGAUCAUGGGGUGAGGUUCUAGAAUAACUUGGCUUAAGGGUUGAAUUCUGGCAAUUGUUUAAGGAAUAGUGCUUGCAAAGGAUCCUUCUUCUGAAUAAAACGACUUCUCUGGCAUUAUCCAACCUGGGUCGUUAUUUCUGGGUAAGGUUUCUGGUUCACUUACCUUAGUAGCUCCACCUCCACAAGUAUUUAACUCCGGUUCUCUCUCUCUUUCAUCACCAUUCCCACUCAUGACCCUUCUUGCUUCCUUUCUCCUGGGAACACUAAGCAGCCCAGGCACUCAACACUGCCUGGGAAUUUAACCUCAUUUCCCUGUGAAAAUUCACUCUCCCCAUAACCAAGAUGGCCAUUUCCUAGUUCGCUUUCUUCAAAGCGCCAUCUCAUGCACCUUUCACUCCAGCCUCCACCGUUCAAGUCUCACCACCUAUCUCACCACAUCCUUCAUUGAGAAAAUGGGUGCAAGUCAACACAAAUUCCCUCCUCUUCUGUCCCCCUGUAUUUGUACCCAUUGACUCUGCUUCCUCCCCCGUAAUAGUGGAAAAGACACAACCUACUCCUACUUAAGUCCAGCCCCUCCACUUACAUUCUGGAUAGCAUGCCUUUGCCUUCCUCUCCAAUCACAGCCUUCGCUUCCCUUAAUUAUCACCUCCAGGAACAGAGACACCUCCCCUGUUACCAGAUCACCCCACCCGACAUACACCUGUGCCUUGACUGCAUGUUGCAAUCUAGCGACCACCCACUCCACAGCUGGAAUUCCAGCUAUCAGUGUCUGUCUGUAUUGACUUCUCUGCUUCCUGGCCACUGCCUCCCACGCUGCCUAUUCUCUCCUCACAGAGCACGCUUCCCUCUUCCCUGUGGUUGGCUCCAAACCCCAUUCCCCCCUCAUUCCAGGACUCUAACCAAGCUUCCCCGGGUCUACCCCACACACCAAAACUUGGAUAAUGCCCGGGGUCUACCCCACAUACCGAAACUUGGAUAAGGCCACCCAUGCAUUAACACCUCCUGAACGUCUCCUCCUACUGAGACCCUCUGAGCAGGACACAAGGAAUGGAAAGCUAGCACGCCCCAAACGGAGAGCUCUCAGGACAUAGUAGAGGAGCUGAGGGCCCCUGAUCUGGAGGACGAUGCCCAACAGAGUGGCAAUUAAAUUGCGGUUCUUUUCGUGGUACCAAAGCUCCGUAAACGUUGUAAAGGUAAGAACAGCCUCUUGCCUUUAGGAACUGAAAACCCAACUAAGGGAAAGGAUCCAUUUACAGCAGUAGGAAAAUAUGUUGAUAUAUUGCUACAUGUGAGCUAUUUUCCCCACAUUACUUCCUUAUCCGUACAUCAGCCGCACGAGUUGAGGAGGCUGAGCUUGCAGCUUUUUGAUUUUUUUCUUUUUCCUCUUUUGGCGGCAUGUGUGGCAUGGGGAAGUUCCUAGGCCAGGGACUGAACCCGUGCCACAGCAGCCACCUGAGGCAUGGCAGUGACAACACUGGAUCCUCAACCUGCUACACCACCAGGGAACUCCAGAGCCUCCAAUGCCUGAUGAGGAAACCUAAAGAAAUUCAUUGUCAAGGUCACACGGCCCGGUUGUGGUUGAACCUGCAUUUAAAUAGAGCUUGGUGACUCCAAAACGUCCUCUUUUUCUUAUACUACCUCCAAAAAUAAAAACACAGGAUAUAUACCUAGACAUUUAACUCCAGCUAUAUCACUUUGUAAGCUCUGUACUCACUCCUCUCCCACAGUGGGAAGCAAUUGACCCUGAAGGGUUUCCUAAUACUUGGUUAGUGAGUUGUUACAGAUCUGGCUUAACAUUUGGGCAACCAGGAGCUUGAAAGACCUGGAUCAGGGAGUUCCCUUUGUGGCUCAGCAGUGAACAAACCCGACUAGGAUCCAUGAGGGUUUGAUCCUCGCCCUCGCUCAGUGGAUUAAGGACCCAACCUUGCUGUGAACAGUGGUGUAGGCUGCAGAGGUCUCUUGGAUCCCGUGUUGCUGUGGCUGUAGUGUAGGCUGGCAGCUGGGGCUCUGAUUCAACCCCUAGCCUGGGAACUUCCCUAAAAAGCAAAACAAAAUGAAAAGGAACACCUGGAUCAACUACAGAGUCUCUGUGCCGAGCUGAUUUAACAGCCCCUAAAAGAGAGGCCAUGGGUGCUGGGUGGUCCCGAAACUUGCAGAGAUAAAGAGGAACCCUCUAAGGUUGGGUUGUGAGAAUAGCACCAUCUCACCUUGAGUGGACUGCUGUCCCCCAGAGUCUAACAGCUACACGACGCUGCCUGGGGAAGCAGCUGCUUUCUGGCCAGUGCAUUUGGAUCUGUGCAAUAAAGAGUUACAUGUGGCCCAGAGAUCUGUACUUGUUUCCGGCUAGUCCAACUCCAAAAUGCCUGUCCGCCUUACCCCUUUUCUCCUCUUCACUGCACUUCACUUUCUCAGUCUCAUGCUGAGUCCCAGGACUCACGGAUAUUCCCCCUCCGAUGCCAGAAAAAUGCACAGUGGGGUCACGCCAAAGCCCUGGAGCCUCGCCAGCGUGUCAUGUCAGGAAAGAGUGAAAUUACAUCUGAAUUACAGCAUAGGCUGA